rnacentral:rRNA from 1 species
GAUGAACGCUGGCGGCGUGCCUAAUACAUGCAAGUCGAGCGAACAGACGAGGAGCUUGCUCCUCUGACGUUAGCGGCGGACGGGUGAGUAACACGUGGAUAACCUACCUAUAAGACUGGGAUAACUUCGGGAAACCGGAGCUAAUACCGGAUAAUAUAUUGAACCGCAUGGUUCAAUAGUGAAAGACGGUUUUGCUGUCACUUAUAGAUGGAUCCGCGCCGCAUUAGCUAGUUGGUAAGGUAACGGCUUACCAAGGCAACGAUGCGUAGCCGACCUGAGAGGGUGAUCGGCCACACUGGAACUGAGACACGGUCCAGACUCCUACGGGAGGCAGCAGUAGGGAAUCUUCCGCAGUGGGCGAAAGCCUGACGGAGCAACGCCGCGUGAGUGAUGAAGGUCUUCGGAUCGUAAAACUCUGUUAUUAGGGAAGAACAAAUGUGUAAGUAACUAUGCACGUCUUGACGGUACCUAAGCAGAAAGCCACGGCUAACUACGU